GAUUGAACAUUUGUCUGGCAAGGACUUGCAACCAUUCCCUCGUAACGCCGCCAGCAUCAACUCCCUCUUCAUCUCGGAAAUGAAUGUUUAGUUUGCUGAAUUUAACUUCAUCCGCAUCCUUAAAAUGUAGAGCACGAUAAGAAUCCAAGAAUACAUGAUCUCUACGAACAGUGAUAUUCAAUGGUGGAUAUUGCUCUUUUGCAGCUUCUUCAUGCAAUUGCCGAUUAAAGUAAUUUCGUUUAUUUUCAAACUCAAGAACCUUAGGAUUUUUGACAAGUAACGAGAAAGAGCCACUCAUUAAAGAGGGUGUAGUAAACACCAUCAUAUUGAUAAUUUUGCGAUGUUCUUCAGUGAAGCUAAUAAACAAGGUCUUGAAUCGCUCGAGAAUAGGUGAAAUAUGUUUUCCAACAUCUUCCGGAAGUUCAAUAAACACAAGUCGGCAGAUAACCAUUAACGAUUCAAUAAGUGGUAGUAAAAC